AGGUGAACCUGCGGAAGGAUCAUUACA
rnacentral:rRNA from 1 species